rnacentral:rRNA from 1 species
CACGUAGUUAGCCGGUGCUUAUUCUUCAGGUACCGUCAUUAGCCAAAGGUAUUAGCCUCAACCGUUUCUUCCCUGACAAAAGAGCUUUACAACCCGAAGGCCUUCUUCACUCACGCGGCAUUGCUGGAUCAGGGUUGCCCCCAUUGUCCAAAAUUCCCCACUGCUGCCUCCCGUAGGAGUCUGGGCCGUGUCUCAGUCCCAGUGUGGCUGGUCGUCCUCUCAGACCAGCUACUGAUCGUCGCCUUGGUGAGCCUUUACCUCACCAACUAGCUAAUCAGAUAUCGGCCGCUCCAAAAGCAUGAGGCCCGAAGGUCCCCCACUUUCAUCCGUAGAUCGUAUGCGGUAUUAGCGUAACUUUCGCUACGUUAUCCCCCACUUCUGGUACGUUCCGAUAUAUUACUCACCCGUUCGCCACUCGCCGCCAGGUUGCCCCGCGCUGCCGUUCGACUUGCAUGUGUAAAGCAUGCCGCAGCGUUCAAUCUGAGCCAGGAUCAAACUCU